CAAGUAGUUUGUUGUUCUGUGUCUUGCUUAAAUGAAAACAAGACUGACUUUUUCAUCUUUUCUUUUCAAUCCAGANACACACUAAACUUCCUAAGCAUCCAUUUCCAUCCAUCUCAACCUCUGUCUAAAGGAACCGCGGGAGUUUCCAGUGAACAAAGUCUUCUCUUCAAGGAGUCACCAUACCGCAUCCAGAUCAAGAAUCCUGUAUCUCUUAGUCACCUAGAACGAGAAAUUUGGACAGCUGGAACGGGCCAUUGUUUAAGCUCCAUUCAGCUCCGGAGAGCACUGAAAUACAGCACAGCACCUCUUCUAUAGGGAGCAAAAUCCUUCUCUUUUCACCAAGGCAGCUGCUGCAAAAUGCAUUCUGGAGCAGACCGAUGAAGCCUAUGGAUGUGAGAUACCGGAUAUUCAGCAAUAGCCCCACUGAAUAUAUCUGGACCUUCUUUCAAGGAAGUGUGCUGAGAAUGUUAGGUUAAUUUAUGCUUCAGAGUUAUGGAGAUAAGCAUUUUUACUUUUUUNAAAAAGUUUGAAACUGGC
rnacentral:lncRNA from 1 species